rnacentral:rRNA from 1 species
GACGAACGCUGGCGGCGUGCUUAACACAUGCAAGUCGAACGGAAAGGCCCUGCUUUUGUGGGGUGCUCGAGUGGCGAACGGGUGAGUAACACGUGAGUAACCUGCCCUUGACUUUGGGAUAACUUCAGGAAACUGGGGCUAAUACCGGAUAGGAGCUCCUGCUGCAUGGUGGGGUUUGGAAAGUUUCGGCGGUUGGGGAUGGACUCGCGGCUUAUCAGCUUGUUGGUGGGGUAGUGGCUUACCAAGGCUUUGACGGGUAGCCGGCCUGAGAGGGUGACCGGCCACAUUGGGACUGGGAUACGGGCCAGACUCCUACGGGAGGCAGCAGUGGGGAAUAAUGCACAAUGGGCGGAAGACUGAUGCAGCAACGCCGCGUGCGGGAUGACGGCCUUCGGGUUGUAAACCGCUUUCGCCUGUGACGAAGCGUGAGUGACGGUAAUGGGUAAAGAAGCACCGGCUAACUACGUG